UACGGAGGAUGCAAGCGUUGUCCGGAAUGAUUGGGCGUAAAGCGUCCGCAGGUGGCAGUUCAAGUCUGCUGUCAAAGACCGGGGCUUAACUUCGGAAAGGCAGUGGAAACUGAACAGCUAGAGUAUGGUAGGGGCAGAGGGAAUUCCUGGUGUAGCGGUGAAAUGCGUAGAGAUCAGGAAGAACAUCGGUGGCGAAGGCGCUCUGCUGGACCAUAACUGACACUCAGGGACGAAAGCUAGGGGAGCGAAUGGG
rnacentral:rRNA from 1 species